AGAGCGAGACUCCGUCUCAAAAAAAAAAAAAAAAAAAAAGAAAAUCCAAAUUUAUAAAUUGCUGGGUCCAUCUCUCUUGCCAUCCAGAAAAGUCAGAGCAACUGGUCUUGCUGGUUUUAAGUGUUGCCUGUGUUUCUGGCAUUGGUCACAAAGCCUACUGCCUGCUAAUCGGCAAGUGGACCUGUUUCUCUAACAAUGGCCCGAAACUUCACAACAUCAAAGGAGAAAUCAUUGCCAGCAAAAGCAUUUCCGGGUAGUAGGAAAGAAUACAAGUGAAUAACAUUAGUCCAGAAGUUUUAAUAAUAUUCUUUGCUGGUUGAAAUUCAUGUUUAAUAUGAUGUAAAUUACUUGAUAAGCAAAUUAAGAACUAUGCUACUACAGACUCCAAAUAAGACGCAAGAAAAAUGAGAGGAAAUACAUUAAAGGAAAAUCUUAAAAAAACAGCUGCACAGAAGAUAAAUUAUUUUUCCAGGAGUUUUAAACAUAGUUGCUUUUGUUUGUUUGCUUUGCUGUUUUUUCUUAAUUGUUUUAGUAAGCUCAGGCUGCUAUAUAAAAAUAAGAUAGGCGCUGGUCUGAACAAUAGACAUUUAUUUCUUAUAGUUCUUGAACCUGGCAAGUCUGAGGAGGGUCAUCUUCUGGGCUUUCAAAGGGCUGCCUUUUUCCUAUGUACGUACAUAGUGAAUAGAAAGCGUUAGCUCUCUGGUCUCUACCUGUAAGAGCACUAAUCCCAUCAUGAAGACCCCAUCCUUAUGGGCUCAUCUAAACCUAAUUACUUCCAAAGGUCCCACCUCCAAAUGCUAACACAUUGAGAGUUAAGGCUUCAAUAUAUUAAUUUUGGGGAAACAAGACACAGUCCAUAUCAAAUAUAUAUAUAUAUAAUAUAUAUGUAUAAUAUAUAUGUAUACUAUAUAUGUAUAUAAUAUGUAUGUAUAAUAUAUAUACAAAUAUAUAUAAUAUAUAUUACAUAUACCCAAGUAUAUAUAUUAUAUAUAUUUGUAUAUAUAUUAUAUAUAUUUGUAUAUAUAUUAUGUAUGUUAUGUAAUACAACUAUAUACACUCUAAAAAGGCAGUGGAAUAUAGACAUACUUCAAUUGAUUGUGCUUUGCUUCACUUGGCUUCACAGAUAAUGUGUUUUACACAAAUUGAAGGUUUAUGACCACCCUGCAUCAAGCAACUUUAUUGGCACCACUUUGUAAUAGCAUGUGUUCAUUUGUAUCUCUGUGCCAUAUCUAGGUAAAUCUCACAAUAUUUCAAACUUUUUAACUAUAAUUAUAUUUGAUAUGAUAAUCUGUAACCAGUGACCUUUGAUGUUACUAUUGUAAUUGUUUUGGGCACCAUGAACCACAUCCAUAUAUGACAAUGAAUUUAAUCAAUAAAUGUGUGUGUUCUGACUGCUCCACCAACUUAGACAAUUAGUUUUAGAUCUUUUAUUUAGACGAUGAGAAAAUUUAAACUAUAAAUAGGCCAGGUCUGGUGGCUUAUGCCUGGAAUCCCAGCAUUUUGGGAGGCUGAGGUGGGAGGCUCACUGGAGGCCAGGAGUUCAAAACCAGCCUGAGCAACAUAGGGAGACCUCAGCUCUACAACUGAAAAA
rnacentral:lncRNA from 1 species